CUCCUACGGGAGGCAGCAGUGAGGAAUAUUGGUCAAUGGGCGGAAGCCUGAACCAGCCAUCCCGCGUGAAGGAAGACAGCCUUACGGGUUGUAAACUUCUUUUCUGUCAGAAGAAUAAGCUUGUCGAGACGAGUGAUGCCGGUAUGACAGGAAUAAGCAUCGGCUAACUCCGUGCCAGCAGCCGCGGUAAUACGGAGGAUGCAAGCGUUAUCCGGAUUUAUUGGGUUUAAAGGGUGCGCAGGUUGUUUGAUAAGUCAGUGGUGAAAGUCUGUCGCUUAACGGUAGGAUUGCCAUUGAUACUGUUGGACUUGAAUAUGGAUGAGGUAGGCGGAAUGUGUAGUGUAGCGGUGAAAUGCAUAGAUAUUACACAGAACACCGAUUGCGAAGGCAGCUUACUAAUCCAUCAUUGACGCUGAGGCACGAAAGCGUGGGGAUCAAACAGGAU
rnacentral:rRNA from 1 species